AGAGAAACUUGAUAUAAGUGUUGUCUAAACACUUCUUAUUAUAAUUAGUCAAAUGCAUUGGAUUGUGACACAUUUUGACCAUAAAAACACUAACAAAACUGUUUACUGCUUCUAAGCAAUUUUUUGUUGGUUUAAGCCUCUUUUGGGAGAAAAUAGGUGUUAGUGUUGUAUGAACACUCCUAAUCCAUCUCUAACUGUUAAAAUUAGUCAAAUGCAUUAGAUUGUGACACAUUUUGACCAUAGAAACACAAACAAAGCCAUUUACUGAUUCUAAGCAAUUUUUUGUUGGUUUUAUCCUCUUUUGAGAGAAACUUGAUAUAAGUGUUGUCUAAACACUUCUUAUCCAUAUUUAACCCUUAAUAUAAGUGUCAAAUGCAUUGGAUUGUGACACAAUUUGAGAGAAACUUGAUAUAAGUGUCAAAUGCAUUGGAUUGUGACACAAUUUGACCAUAAAAACACUUACAAAACUGUUUCCUGU
rnacentral:sRNA from 1 species